UCCUGGUUAACCCAGGCAGUCUCAUUAGAGUUCCCAUCUUUACAUGUUGGCAACUAAUGAUAAGGGUUGCGCUCGUUGCGGGACUUAACCCAACACCUCACGGCACGAGCUGACGACAGCCAUGCAGCACCUGUGCAGCAGUCCCGAAGGAACAUCUCAUCUCUGAGAUUGUCUACUGCAUGUCAAGCCUGGGUAAGGUUCUUCGCGUUGCAUCGAAUUAAACCACAUGCUCCACUGCUUGUGCGGGUCCCCGUCAAUUCUUUUGAGUUUCACCCUUGCGAGCGUACUCCUCAGGCGGUAUACUUAUCGCGUUAGCUUCGGCACAACCGGGUUUAAGUCCAGUUACACCAAGUAUACAUCGUUUACGGCAAGGACUAC
rnacentral:misc_RNA from 1 species